GCGAAGGUGGCGGAAUUGGUAGACGCGCUAGCUUCAGGUGUUAGUUUCCUUAGGACGUGAGGGUUCAAGUCCCUCUCUUCGCACCA
rnacentral:tRNA from 1 species